ensembl:lincRNA
GGACCGGCACCCGCUUUGGCCCCCUUUUCCAACUUGCUGCAGCUCGCGCCCCCCGCCCGAGCCCCCUCCGCCGCGCGGGCCACGUCUUACCUCUGAAGCAACACUUGGUUGCGCGGUUCUUCGGCGCGCUCCUUCCUCUGGGCUUAUUCCCUUACUUGGGAGGAAAGAGGAACCGAGAGACUGAAAGGGGACCGAGGCUGGCGUCUGGGCGUCUGCCCACCCGCGCAGCCCUCCCAGGGAGGGGGAUGGAGCUCGGGUGGGAGCCUCAGGAGCUCCGGCGGCCCGGUUGGGAUUAGGCGGCGCUGGGGUCUCUGCCCGCCCAGGUACCCGCGGCUCCGGAGCGGUGCGUCUCGGCGGCCCGCUACUACGGCACACUGCGGCGCCCUGCCACUAGCAGCGGGCAAGUCCGGCUGCCACUCUCACGGCGGAGCCCUGCCCCCGGGCGCAGAGCCCGCCCCCGCCACACACCCGCGUGCGCGCGCACACGCGCAAUACACCGGCGCGUGCACACACGCGUGAAUGCGGUGGGCUCAGAGCGAACCUGCGCCUCUUUGGUGGUUCGGGCACUUCUCACUGGCAGUGAAGGUCCUGGGUCAGGACUGCAGCCAAGAAGCUUUCUGAUGAUGCUGAGGCACCAAGGAGCCCUGGGUGUCUGGGCAUUUGGGGAAGAAGCCUCAAACAUGAGUGCCAGACAGCACUGAAGACCCUGAUGGAAGCACCAUGACUGGAGAAGAUGCAGACCCAACUGGCUCUCUGGCUUAGCUUCUGGGAGCUGACCCUGGGCUUUCGAGGACAGUGCCAGCAGCUGGGACAGAGAUUGUUCCCAUGGCAACGCUGUGAAACUGCCCAAACAGCGGUGAGCAGGAGAGAGAGAAAACCAGGAUGGCAAAUGUGGGUGCCUGCUCCCCCAACCCUCUCCUGUCUCCCCAGUGUCUUGUGGUCAUGGUGCGUCAUCCAGCGUCACCCUCCUGCCUUGAACACCCAUUUGAAACCCCUACUCGGCAACACCACCUCAACGUGGACUGCAAAGCCAGAUUUUGUGGGCAUCUCUCUGCAGGGUUGGGAGCACCAGACUCAGGAGGUUGCUGCAGCCAAAUCCUAGUAUCUGUCCUGCCCCAUCCCCCUCCUCGAAAUCCCCCAUCCAGCAAUCAACUUUAGGGUAGGUGGCACUGGACCUUCCCAGUGAAAGUCCCUGAGAGCAGCUUCCGGGCCUCCACUUUUCUUUGGAGGUUAAGGCCAUGCAUUGGGAGAAGGCAAUGGCACCCCACUCCAGUACUCUUGCCUGGAAAAUCCCAUGGACAGAGGAACCUGGUAGGCCGUAGUCCAUGGGAUCGCUAAGAGUCGGACACGACUGAAUGACUUCAAUUUCACUUUUCACUUUCAUGCAUUGAAGAAGGAAAUGGCAACCCACUCCAAUGUUCUUGCUUGGAGAAUCCCAGAGAUGGGGGAGCCUGGUGGGCUGCUGUCUCUGGGGUCGCACAGAGUCAGACACGACUGAAGCGACUUAGCAGCAGCAGCAGCAGCAGCAGCAGCCAUGCAUUGAGCACUUGCUAUGGGCCAGGUUUUGUGUUUGGUGUUUUACAUACAUUUAUUUGGGCUUCCCAGGUGGCACUAGUGGUAAAGAACCUGCCAAUGCAGGAGACAUAUGAGACUUGGGUUUGAUCCCUGGGUCAGGAAGAUCCCCUGGAGGGAGGGUACAGCACCCCACUUCAAUAUUCUUGCCUGGGAAAUCCCUUGGACAGAGGAGACGGGUGGGCUACAGUCCACUUGGUCACAAAGAGUCAGACACAACUAAAGCGACUUAGCGUGCAUGCAUGCAUUUAUUUGAUUUUCACUCUUUCUCUAUUAAGGGAGCAGGACCAUCCCAUUUUACGAGUGAGGAAAUGAAUACACCCCGUGUCACACAGGUGGUAGGAAGUAAAGCCCAGAUUAGGACCAGAUGUCUUGCCACCCUCUCUGGACAGCUUUUAACCACACCAUAUUGUUUGGGGGCUCGUUUUGCCCACUCUGGAUGGAGAGGGCAUGGAUGUGUGAGAAAUGAAGCAAUGAGAACCACCGGAUAAUGUUCUUGCAGAUGAACAAGCUCACCUGUGCCCAGUAUACAGCAGAUACACACUGGUAAGGCUGAGCUGGCUGCUUAAACAUUGAAGUGAGUGAAAGUGAAAGUGUUAAGUCAUUCAGUUGUGUCCAACUCUUUGCGACUGCAUGAACUGUAACCUGCCAGGCUCCUCUGUCCAUGGAAUGCUCUAGGCAAGAAUAUUGGAGUGGGUAGCCAUGUCCUCCUCCAGGGGAUCUUUCCUGACCCAGAGACUGAACCCAAGCCUCCUGCAUUGCAGGCAGAACUGACCAGGUGGUAAAUUGCCAUCUGAGGGACUUUGCAGCAUCCUGGCCAAGCUGGCCGGUUGUCCCAGGACUUCCUCACAAGUCAGCAAAGAAAGCGCUAUUACCAGGGCCUCAGGAGCCUUAGGACCACGACCGUUCCGGGACCAUGGUCACCGUUCACCCUGACUGGCUGUGCCUGUGCUAUUCCUGUUGUUAUAUGUUUUGGCAUCACUCCUGCCUGACCUAAUGAGUGAUGUGGAAUGGAGGCUCUUGGAUGCUGAGCAAUCUCUGAAAUGUUUUGUUGGAUUCUGGCUUAGGAAACAUUCUGCUUUCAGAGACAACUUGUAGGUGAUGAGGUGUGUUCUCAGAGUCAAGGGUCAUGGGCGCUGGUAGGAUUGGUUCAAAGAUCCCUACCAUUCAAGAAAGAUGCAUGCCUAUGAAAGCAGGAUAGAAUGUGAUUCUCCAAAUGAGCCCUAUUGUCUUAUUGAUUCUAAUGAUAAAAAUCAGUUACAGUUGAGUGGUUAGCUCAUUACUGAUGGACAGGGACUCGUUUCUGAUCAGGCAGGGCUUGAGAAGAGUUUUGUGCAUGAGGCCUGCUAGCUGUUCAUUUACAGGAUUGCUUCUGAAGAACUCUGCAAACUUGCCACAUUUUACUGACCUGGAGAUCUCGUGACUGCUGACACCUCUGAACCCUUCUCAGAAUAAAGGAAAUUCUCUAAUCCCUGAAGAUACUGGCCCCACACUCAGAACUUCUGGAAAUUGACCUGCCUUCCUUCCAUUUCUGCUGGGAAAUAAUCAUAAUAUCUCCCAUUUAAUGAACAACUCUGAUAUAUCACCCUCUGGGCUAAGCAGUUAACAUACUUCAUAUCAUUCACACAGUGCAGUUUUACUAUACCCAUUUUAUAGACAAGGAAACUGAGGCUUAGAGACAUUUAAAAACAUUAUUCAUGUUAACCCAGCUGGCAGGUAGGAAAACCAGUUGUCAAACUCAAGUCUGUUGGACCUUAAAUCCCAUAUUCCUUGCUUGAUAGUCUGGGAUGCCAAGGUGUCUACUUGUGCUCCAAGGCCCUUACACGGUUUGGCUGCUGCCUCCUAAGCGAUCUCCCCCUGUAGUCUACUCCCCACCUGCCCCUAUCACUAUGAUCUACCCUCUUUCUGUUCCACAAAGGCACCCAGAUUGUUUCUGGCAGUGCGCUUUUGCUGUUGUGGCCUGCUGUGCCUGGGAUGCAGAAACUUUGCAAGUUCUAGAGAUGCAAAGAUAUGUAAGACAGCUCCUGCCCUUAAGAAAUCUAUAAUCCAGUGAUGGGAGGCAGACAAAUAGGUAAGAGAAUUAUAAUGUAGUCUACUAAAUUCAUUAAUGGAGAUCUUGAACGACUUAACAGAAAUACAGAGAAGUAAAGCUGACUCUGUGUGUGUGUGUGCAUGUGUGUGUGUAGGACAGCCAGGAAAGACUAUGGGUGAGCCUUAAAGAUAAGCAGGAGUGAACAAGACGCAGCGCGUAGAAGGCUGAUUGUGAGAGAUUCCUGGUGGAGAAGACAAUGGGAGCAGAAGCCCAAAGAUGAGGAACAGUGGCAUAUAUGAUAUGGGUGACGUGUGGCGCUGGAACAUAAAAUGGUAAGAGAUGCAGCUGGGAGGUAGGCAAGAUUGGACUGGGGACAGUCCUGUGGUUAGGAAGCCCAAAUGAUUUCCUAAAGGAUACUAUGGGAGUGAGAGCAAGCUAGGACCUCAAGACAGUAGAAACAGUCUGGAGCUGUCUGGAGAUGCUGCAGUGUCACGUCACUCUCACCUAGGGUCUACACUAAGAAAUUUGAACCUCAGUGUAUGCACAGUGGGGAGACACUGAAGGUUUCGAGAGGGAGGCGGCAAACCAGACUUGAUUGUUAAGGGUUAUUCAGGCACCAGUGUGGAGGGUGGAUUGGAGGGCUGCCAGGCUGAAGUGGAGGCCCACUUGGCAUGAGAGAGAGUGGGAAUGGGUUGGAGGUGAUGCUGUGGUGAAAGGUAUAAAGAAAACGGGUUUUGUGUUUGCUUGUUUGUUUUCAAGAAAUGAAGGAGUACUGAGGAGGCGAGAUCUUCAGGGUUUUAGCAUUGGUGAAGAGAAGGAGGAGAGAAGAAUAGACUCCCCGCCUCAGGUUCCUCAUAAGGAAGCUGGGUACAGAUGGUGGUACCACCUGCAGCAAUAGAACAGGCUUUGGAGUGUUGGGUUUCUCCUUGCACAGGUUGAUUGGCGGGACCCACGGGAUGUCUGGAGGGAGGAGUCUAGUAGAUGGAUGUGGGUCUGGACCUAUGUAUAAAGGGCUGGAGACUUACCUGGAGCUUAUAAGAAUAUAGACUAUCAAGAGACUGAAACACAUUCAUACAGAGAGUAUGUUCAGUGAGAAGAAUGGUGGCUUAACACUAUUCCCCUUCUCCUCUUGGCAAUUUUCUUUCAAAAAAUAAACUUUGUGUCAUUGACAGGAUAUUUAAUUAACACUCUAAUAACUUGUGAAAAUGACUGAGCUUAUUAUUUUCCCCUUGUAAAAAUCUGCCUUGGGUUCUCCGAAUUCUUAAUUAUGUUAUUUUCUACAAACUUAAUUUAUUUCUGUUGGUUGUGUGUGACAUGGCUCAUUGCCCACUGUUUGCAGGGGUCAGUAUUUUGUUCACUAGGUUGCCACUGGAGACUGGCGAUGAUGACAGAGCUGUAGGAACUGAGCGGCGGUGAGGCUUCUAUUUUUUAACUUCUUAAUUUAUCUUUUUUAAUCUUAUUUUUGAGUAUAUAAUACAUUCAAAUGGUUUGUAAAUAAAAUAAAUAAAAAUAUAUGUAGCAAAUAGUCUCUCAUCUAUCCCUAUCCCUCAUCCACGCAAUUCCCACCAUUGUUCCAGGUAGCUAUGGCCAUCAAUUUCACGCAUGGCUUUCCAGAGUUUCAUUAGCAUACAUGAGCAGAUACAAAUAUAUAUAUUCUAUCUCCGCCCACUCCCCAUCAUUUUUUACACAAAAGGUUUUAGGUGAUCCUUAUAGUUCUGACUUUUCUGUUUACACCUAGUAUGUCUUGAGUAUUGUUCCAUGUCAAAACAUAGAACAGGUCAUCAUUCUCUUUAAACCAUCACUGACUUAGCUAGUC